GGCCAGGUAGCUCACCUGGUUAGAGCGGCGGUCUCAUAAUCCGCAGGUAGUCGGUUCAAGUCCGACCCUGGCCACAAGCC
rnacentral:tRNA from 1 species